rnacentral:rRNA from 1 species
ACGGGGUGCAGCAGGCGCGAAAACUUUGCAAUAAGCGAAAGCUUGACAGGGCUAUCCCGAGUGCCAUCCGCUAAGGAAGGCUUUUACCUAGUCUAGAACGCUGGGGGAAUAAGGAGAGGGCAAGUCUGGUGUCAGCCGCCGCGGUAAUACCAGCUCUCCGAGUGGUGUGGAUGUUUAUUGGGCCUAAAGCAUCCGUAGCUGGCUAAGUUAGUCCCCUGUUAAAUCCACCGAAUUAAUCGUUGGAUUGCGGGGGAUACUGCUUGGCUAGGGGACGAGAGAGGCAGACGGUAUUUUCGGGGUAGGGGUGAAGUCCUAUAAUCCCGGGAAGACCACCAGUGGCGAAGGCUGUCUGCUAGAACGCGCCCCGACGGUGAGGGAUGAAAGCUGGGGGAGCGAACCGGAUUAGAUACCCGGGUAGUCCCAGCUGUAAACGAUGCAGGCUAGGUGUUUGGACGGCCACGUGCCGUUCUAGUUGCCGCAGGGAAGCUGUUAAGCCUGCCGCCUGGGGAGUACGAUCGCAAGAUUGAAACUUUAAAGGAAAUUGGCGGGGGAGCAC